CAAAUACUCCCUCCGUCCGGAAUUACUUGUCAUCAAAAUGGAUAAAAGGAAAUGUAUCUAGACGUAUUUUAGUUUUAGAUACAUCUCUUUUUAUCCAUUUUGAUGACAAGUAUUUUUGGACGGAGGGAGUAGAAA
rnacentral:pre_miRNA from 1 species